rnacentral:rRNA from 1 species
CAGUCGCCGCGGUAAUACGUAGGUGGCAAGCGUUGUCCGGAAUUAUUGGGCGUAAAGGGCUCGCAGGCGGUUUCUUAAGUCUGAUGUGAAAGCCCCCGGCUCAACCGGGGAGGGUCAUUGGAAACUGGGAAACUUGAGUGCAGAAGAGGAGAGUGGAAUUCCACGUGUAGCGGUGAAAUGCGUAGAGAUGUGGAGGAACACCAGUGGCGAAGGCGACUCCCUGGUCUGUAACUGACGCUGAGGAGCGAAAGCGUGGGGAGCGAACAGGAUUAGAUACCCCAGUAGUCCCUGUCUCUUAUAC